rnacentral:lncRNA from 1 species
CGGCGGUGGCGGCCGGAAUCGGGAGAACACGGUGGAGGAAGCGCUGCCCACCUUCUGGGUGGGGAUCGCCGUCAGCUUCUGGGCUCCCCUGGCGGAGAAGAAAGUGGCCGCCGGAAGUGGCUCCGCCCUGUCCACCGGAGAUUCCUUUUGUUCGAUGUGACGAGGUUCGCAGCACAACGGGCCAGUUUUCGUGGGCUUCUUCAAAAAGAGAAAGUAUCGGGCCCAUCAGGCCCAAUAAUGCGGAAUGUACUGGGGUACUUUUGUGCAGUAUAAUUAUUCACAGGGAGGUAUUUUUAAUUUACCAACCGAGCCCAAUGCCUUUGAGAAUAGCCCUCUUAUGCUUAAUGGGCCAGUUUCGUGGGCUUCUUCUACAGGGGAAAUAGUCAGGCCCGUCAAAC